CUCUCGUGUUCUCCUCGUGAUCCUUUUUGAAAGUUUUCUUAUUUUUUAUGUGUGUUGUGGAUUACUCCUCGACUUUAAUAAAAGGAGAUAUCAAUUCUUCUAGCUGCACUUACAGCCCUGAUGGAAAAGGGGGAGCGUGAAGACGCCAAGAUGUCCAAGAAGAUGCCUACUUCCCCAUUUGACAGUAGUUCAGAUGAUGCUUCCAAUCAGGUUCCAUCAAAUAGCCAAGACUAUUUCAACAACAGACCUCCACAGCCAACAAGUAACCCUUACAGGCUGUACCCCAACAGACCAUCAGAGACAACAAGUAACCCUUACAGGCUGUACCACAACAGACCAUCAGAGACAACAAGUAACCCUUACAGGCUGUAC